CCCGCGGAGGGAGCGGCCGCGCUGCGGGCGCGCUGGUCCCCGGCGAGGCAAAGUUUCAGCGCCAGCCUCGGCGCGGCGGCGGCGGCGACUCGCUGCUGCUCUCCUCCCCUGCUUUGACCACCAUCUUAUUAGUACAGGAAAUGACAUGGAAAACGGAAGAAAGCGGCGUUUGGGGCAGACGCGGACCCCCCAAUUCAGGGGCCGGAGCCGGGACUCACCAGCCGCGUCCCGACCCGGCCCCGGAGAAAACUCCCGGGGCCCCUUAGGCCCGCGCCCUGCCCGGAGGGGGGAACCCGGCUCUCCAAACCCAAAGGGAGAGGGAGCGUUUUAUAAUCCAGCCCGUGGAGAAAUCGAGAAAAAAAUAGAUGAAAAAAAGAAAAGGUUAAGAGAGAACUUUCGAACUGGGAUACUUUUUUGGGGUCAGAAGUAAAAGUUCUCAAAUUUUAAUAAAGUCAUUGUGAGGGGGGCUCCCUGGCUCUCCCGGUCGCGUGGCUGUCCAUUUGGAACCAAAUAGUCGGGGGGAGUCGACGCGUUUGGAUUUUUAACCCUUUCAGGGCUCCGCGGCUGGCCCCCUCCCGGUCCCAUUUAACCCUUUGAAUGCUCAGCAGUUUGGAGAUACAAACUGAAGUUGCGAGACGCAGGCGUCCCGCGAAGGCUGAGGGUGAGGGGCUUGGGGUUCGUUAAAAAUAUUAACUCUUUAUGUGGGGUUGCGGUUUUGUAGUCACGAAUCGCACAUGUUCUUCAAGUCAAAAUAUGUUACAGAGGGAGAGAGAUUCUGAGAACUGGAGGGGCUGGUCCCUGGCUGGCUUGGAAAAGAUGUUUAAGCGGCAUUCACUUGCUCGAUUCCUCAGUUUCUCCAUCUGUGAAAUGGGAUUCGACAUCACAGAGAGGGGGUGAAGAGGGAAAGACUGGGCCGGGGGUGGAAUUGUCACAGAGUGCUUGAGUGCUUGACAUGCUUUCCUGAGCGCCUGGAAAACUGACAGGUUGCGAUGGGGCUGGAAGCCUUGGAGGAGGGCAAGGGACACUGCAGGGUGGCGUAACCAGGACAACCAUUCCCCAAUCAACCCCUUUCUCGUGGCGUCCUCUACAAGUCCUGUGGCCCAAUGGCGACGUCUCUCCUACCAAGGGAGGAUGCUCUGUGCAAGCUCCAAAAUUGGGGCAGUAAACCCCAGUUGGUGAUUCCCAGGAAGGCACCUGGGCGAGGCGCUGUCCAGUGCUUUCCCCAAACAUCCACGAAGCCCUGCAAGAGUUGCCCAGACGGCCCCCAGAGGGUACUACCCCAGGGAAGCCUCCUCCCAAGGCGGAAGGAGUUCCGUGUCAACCUUGCUGCUGGCGAUCCGCAGAUGGGCGUUCAUGGUCAGAUGGGCGUUCAUGGUCAGAUGGGGGUGCUCAUGGCUUUUGGAAUCUGGAUGUGGAGCUGGAGGCGGUGGGGGUGAUGAGGGAGGGAGCACUGUGGGUACCACAUCAUUUGUUUCCCUUGACUCUGGCGUCACAAACACAGCUUCUUGGAAUCUCAUGCCUGUUACUGGCUGUGUGAUCUGGAGCAACUGGCUUCACCUCUCUGAGCCUUUAUUUCCCACAUCUGCAAAGUGGUGCACAGUAAUACCCACGUUCCUGGCUCUGUGUAAGGAGCCAUGAGAGUGUAUUUAAAGGGCCCAGCACCCAGCUGCUCUCAGUAGAUGCUCAAGAGACAGUAACAACCCUAUCGUUAUAUGAGGUUCAAUGCAACUCAUCUGAUUCCCCUUCCAGUGGCUGGAGAACAUCCCACCUUCUGAGCCUUGGGGAGAAGCAGAGUGUGCCCUUUCCCUGCCCACUGGAGAAGCUGAAACAACAAAAACUCCCUUCCCUGGCCUCCCUGCAGGAGACUCCAGGAAGACUCCUGAAUGCCACACACUCCUAAACCUGAGAGACCUUCAUGCAGAUUGGGGAGCAGCUUUAGGACUGCUGGGUGGAGCCACAAUGAGACAGAUAAGCUCCAGGAAAAUAAGAAGUGCCGAAACAAUGGAGCCACCCAACAAAAAGGGCUGCCACUGCAAGUGGUGAGCUUCCUGUUACUGGAGUAAGUCAAAGAUGGUGUCGAAAAUGGUGAAAUCAAGAACUAGUGCUUAGAAUUAUGGAGAUUUAAAAACAGAAGAGACACCUCCCAGAGUUGCAAGUGGUCGCCUGUCCCAGAGAGCUGGUGAGAUGAGGUGGGGAGGUGGCAGCUGAGUUUUAUGGUGAGAAAGUGGAGUUCGAAGAUGUCAUCAGCCCAGGUCACACAGAUGGUGGAGACCAGUGUGGAGCCCGGGAGUGGGCUGAGCAGAGCAUCUGGACUUUGAGCUUCCAUCAGACCCUGAGAUAGUCACCUGUCCUGGCUGCCUGGUGACCCUGGUGUGCUAACGUGGCACUUAUCUUGCUCUAUGGAGGCCCCUGGGCCCCCUAAACACCAGGUGGGUGCCUUCAGCCAGCCCCAUACUGACCUGUGAAGCCCAGGUAUUGCUGGCCAACCCACCCCACUCACAGACAGAAGCAGUUCUCCAUCUUUUGGCUUUAGCAGAUCUGCUUCAUUUCUCCUCCCCACAAAGCCUGGACUUUGUUCUGGGGGUAUCCCUGUUUGCAGUGAAGCUUUUUCACUCAGUGCUCAAUCUGAGCCCAACUCCACCCCACAUCUCUGAUUCAUAGACUUUUGUGACUGCCUUGACCAGUAGAGUAUGGCAGAAGAUGCUCUGUAACUUCCCAGGCUAGAUCUAGAAAAUGCCACGCAUUUCUGCCUUGCUCUCCUGCGACAUCCACUCUUAGAACCCAGUUGCUGUGCUAAAAAGAACUCACAGACCACGUGGAGUGGAGCAGAUGGGUCAGUGUCCCAGGUGGCAGCCCGUGUCGGCCUCAGACCUGCACGUGAGGAUGCCCACCAGAGGGUUCCUGCCACCACCGUCAAGUCACCCCAGCCUUAAUCUUCCAGCCGGCGCCUCAGGCAUUAUGGGCAGAGGUAAACUGUCUCCAUGAUGCCCUUUCCAAAUUUCUGACCCACAGAAUCCAUGGCUAUAAUAAAAUGGCUGUCUUAUGUGCUCAA